rnacentral:tRNA from 1 species
GUCAGUGUAGCUCAGCAGGUUAGAGCACAGCAUUCAUAAUGCUGGGGUCGGUGGUUCAAGUCCACCCGUAGCUACCA